ACGGGGCGCCGAGCAGCCCUCGCCCGGCGCAGUGCCAGGGCCCUCCUCGCCCCCUCUUCUGCCCCAGGGGGAACGCGGGCACGGCGGCCAGGAAACAUCCAGAGGCCCGUGGCCGUCCGCGGGGAUGCGCUUACUUGGUCGGGGCCCAAGCGAGCUGUCCGCAGCUGGGAGAAGAGCGGCAGCGCGGGCGGAAGCGGGGCAAAGCAAAGCCAUUCUCCUCAUCACCACAACUCACAGGAAUUGAAAGCUGGGGAAUAAGAAGAGGGUUUUAAAGAAGUGGAUGGCUCCAGUCGGAGCACAGGAUCUGAGCCCCUUAAGAUCAGACCACAAAAACAAAAUUGCUGUAGGUCUGUGCCUAAUUCCUGCUUCUCUCUUUUUACUACCUGUACCCAGUGUAUGCUUGGUCUGGAGUAUCAAAACUAGACAAUCUGUUUCUGAGACAGAUCUGACUUUCAGCGCACGUGCUCUUCCUAGCUAGCAUCAUGCUGCCUGCAGCCUUUCCACAUUCUCCUUGCCAGGAAAAUACCACACGUACUUUUAAGACAUCAAUACAAGUCAAGAGCACUUGUUGAUCCUCUGCUCAUCCAGGCAUAAUUUUGGAGAUUCAGUGGACCUGUUGGGACAAGCAGGGGCUCCAAGCAGCCUCUCUGAUGAGAAGCAUGUCACUUCUUGCAGUCACCCUCCUGCGUAUUAGCUAUUUCCUACCAGGUGAAAGGAGGUGUGCAAAUUCUUCUGGUAUCAAAAAUUUUAUGCCACAUGCCACCUGGGCACAUUCCUCAGUAUGCCUCUGGCAGCUGCCAGUUCUCAACACUGCUUAAAUAGUUCUCUGCCCCAAAAGAAUUUACUGAUUUCCUUGAUUCUUCCCAGAAGAUUGUAAGUGAACCUGACGGAGCAGAAAGUGAAGAGAACAUAUUUUUGUGGGCACUGGUUUGGAGCACAAAAUUUAACUUCGGCUCAGAACCCUUUUACAAAGAUCUUUGAAUACUGCCAAACUACAACAGAGACUGGCUGCAAGUGAAUGAAAAAGCAUACCAAAUCUCCUUUGCCCUUUAAAAGAUAGAAACUCCCUAGAAGACAAUUAUAUUUAGCAGUGUUGAGGAAAAAUGCUUUAGGAGUAAUCAACACAGAAAAGGUCCUCUUCUUUUUAUGCGGGGUUGUCUACUUUCCUGUUCCUUCUUUAAAAUUGUUUCUCUACAUCUGAGAAAAAAUAGAAAAAUUAAAGCAAUUUUCCUGUGUCACUCAUAGAUAGGAAAUGGUGAUGUGUUUAAACACUGAUCUAGUGUACAGAAACCCUCCUCACAUAGCUGCAGGGACAUUAUAUAUAUCUCACCUUCCUAGCGUAAGUUACUUUGAAGCCCCUCUGGGUAGAAACACAGAGACAAAUGCAAUCCCAUGCAUUGUGCUGCUCAGACCCUCUCUCCUCACAGAGACUUUUCCUCCCCAAGAGCAAAAAAUACAAGGGGCCACUAUAAGGUCACAUGAACCAGAACGCAAUGAAAGAGGGGGAGGAUCUAUAGGCAAUAUAUGCCCAGUAUUGUCUGCUCCUUCAAUAGCUUUUAAGUGCAAGAAAAUUAGCUGUGACUCUUUUGACAUGAAGCGACCACCAGUGCUACUGAGGUGUUGCUGGAUUGGAGUUCCAGAACUCAAAGUAUUUCUGUGAAGGAGUAGGAAUGUUAGGUGUUUGCUCCUGAAAUCUUUCUCUCCAAACAAGUACUAUCCCUUUGAGAGUAACAGGCAUCUCACGUGGUUGUUUUUAUUUAGUGCCUUCCUGGUUUUGGCAGAGGUUUUCCUUCUUUGACUGACCUACUCAUGUCAAGGCUCCUACUUGUGAAGGCGCCUGUCUUUGACCUUUCUAAAACAGGUGGCAAGGCAGUAGUUGUGACUGAAAUAUCUACUAUGGCGUUGUAAAGGCUUUUGUUGCAGUUUUAUGAUGUAGCUUCUAUGGCAAUGGAGAGGCUGAAAGUGCUAUUUCCAUGUGAAAAUAUGUCCAUUUCUCAUGUCUGCUAUGUCACCUCAUGUUACCACAUUAAAUGGUUGAACCCA